rnacentral:lncRNA from 1 species
CGCCAAUGGAUCUUUCAGACAGGUCCACUGCUCCUGAAUAGAGAGACUAUGGCGCAUCUCACGGUUAAUCAUCUUAACCUGGCUCAGGGUAUAUCAGACACCAACUGUUGCCGCCUACGAGUAUGACUAGUGAGUCCUACACAUGUAUGACUAGUGAGUCCUUCACAUUAUGUGAUAAUUAUUUGCUCUUUCAAAUCAUGCAUGAUCUAUCUUAAAAGCUUACGCACCUUUUGUCAUACUGCUUAAAAGGCCUCAAUCUAUUUCAAGACAUUCAACAUUUUUGGAAUAAAGAUCAACGAUUGAACAAAAUUAAAUACGAAGGAUAGACAUUUUCGGAAAGCCUUUCUACUCUCAAAGACUAAUCAUACGAGACUUUGCGCAACUAAUC